UGAGAUCAUGACCCGAGCUGAAAUCAAGAGUCGGAUGCUUAACUCUGGCGCCCCAAUCUUAUUUUUUUAAAACUGGCAUUCUUGAAGAACCAGUAGAAAUUUCAAAAGAGUUACUUUAAAUAAAGAAAAGUUAGAUCUGAUAAGUGUGGCGUGGAGUCUAUGAAUCUUUUCACAUUUACUAUUUCUGUGAAAUCCCAUAGUGUAAGAAGAGUGCUGCUAAUAUAAUUUCUGUAUAAUGACAAACUUGGUUAUUAUAGCACACAGUGCGUAGAGAAACUCUAGAUUUAUACUUAUUUAACCUGGUCAGCAAUCUUGGCAGUCUGUUUACUGAUCCCCAAAGGGCCAGAUGAUAAGAGCUUUAAUUUUCAUCAUUGUACUAUUGAAACGAAUCAGUAGCCAUCUUUGUAUAUAAAGAAUAGCUAAUAGCUGUAUUCUUAAACUUAACAGCAGUUUCAUGGCAUAAGUACUGGAUUUGGGUAUUAGGUUUAGUUUUGUGCCUGUGUGAAUUUAGGACAGUUCCCUAAAAUCUCUAGGCCUCUGUGUCUACAUUUUUAAUAUGACAGGGCUAGACUGUGUUAUCAGGAAGGUCCCUUUUAAUCAUGAAAUUCUUUUUUUCUGGCUAGUCCCUGGUUUACAUGGAAAAGGAGAUCUAAGAAAGUAGGAAAUCUGCCCAAAUUUAUGGCUAAUUAAGAGGCAAAGUCAGGGCUAGAAUCCCUGGUUUUCUGCCUUUUAAUACUUGCAAUUCAGGCAGCUUGAUUUUCAUAAGCAAAGGCAUAGAUAUAGUUAAGUCACUUAGUUUUAGUGUAAUUUAAAACUUUGCUUUUGUUUCUUUUGCUACUUUAGUAUCUAAAAUUCCUUUUAUAUCAGUCAUUUGACAGAAUGUUUUGCUUAAAAUAGUUGUACUUUUGAUAUAAUGGUUUAUUUCUUAAGUAGUUUAUAGAGAAAAUAAUAGUUCUCAUAUCUGAAGUAAUGCAGUUCAGUGUUUAUACUUGUACUUGCCCAUCCCCACCCCCCAAUAAAAGAUGCUUUGGAAACACAGAAAAAUCCCAUUCUGACUUUGUGAUCAGUCUUAGGAAUACAGGUAAUAGGAAAUUUGACACUAUUUUCAGUACGUGUUUUGUGCCUUUGAAAAUUCAAAA